UAUAUAUAUAUAUACACAUAUCUUUCUACUGACAGCGUGCGCAGGCCAGAGUGCUGAAGCUCGGCGCAUUAUUAUUAUGAAGCUAGGGCACAUGCGGAGGACACACACACACACACACAUGCAAAAUAUACUUGUUUUCAAGUAAAUUUAUUGGGCCCACUUACUUUUUCUUUGGCCCACCCACAAAUGAGUUUCUGGCUACGCUAAUGGUGACAUAUGACAGACUUCUCUGAGCUCCGCAGCCAUUACACUUUUCAUCUCGCGCACCCCCUAGCGGCAGCUCUCGCACCCCCAGGGGUGCGCGCACCACACUCAGGCAAUCCCUGAGCUAGAGGAACAACAACUGUUAUUAGAGCACAGCGAGAAUGAUGAAGGAAGAGGUGUCGGUGGAGUGUCCGUCCAUUGCAUUGUCAACCAUCACGCUGUUUGCAUUUUUUAAGGGAAGCUAUGUCGUGCCGAAAACGACGUUGUGUUGUUUGGCUGACCAAUAACAGACGUCCAGCAUACAACGCAGCCGUCGGAUGUUUAGAAAAUAUAGCUCGACUUCAGCCGACAGUCCAACAGUGUUGGAUUGCCAAUACGAUGUCGCAUCAUGGCGAUCCAACAGAUCCGACAUGCUGGAGCAGUGUCAGUAUGAAUCAGUCUUGAUGCCGACGUUAAUUCUGAGGAAUUUGUCCUGCAGAAACUCCUUUUUAGUGAAAACCAGCCAAAUUCAGUUGGAAGCUUUUAGCUAUCUGCUGCUAAAAUAUACAAAUAAAAACAAACUGCUGCUGCUGAGACAAUCACUGCUGCCACAGCAACCAUAGGGUGUGUGUGAGUGUGUGUGUCCAUUCACAUAUGUGAACUGAGCCGUUACUCAGGAAUGCAGCUGUUGUUGUGAGAGGUCAAAGGUCAGGCCGCUGAGGUGAAAACUCUUCAGGUGGAAACAGGAAGCUGCCGACCAUGGUUACCAUGGCAACCGAAGUUUAUGAGUGCUGGCUGAUAAAACUUCAACCAAACAAAGUAGAAAUAUUCACGUGAAACUUCACAAUAAAAGCAUCACGCUGACGAGGGGGUUGAAUUCCAUAUCUGCAGCUACACAUUCUUGUUCCUGCUGAGGAUUCUUCUCACUGGAAUGCUGCAUCAGGUAAAGCAUAUGAGUUUGUGAAAAUCACCAUGAUGACCUUCACAUGUUUUGUGUUUAGGCUCCAUAUUCUGGCUUUCCGACUUCCUCAUCAGUCUGAUUCCAGGAUCUGCAUCUGGAGCCCUCAGCAGACCUCCAGGUGUGCUCUGAUGUUCCCUCAGACGCAGUAUUAGAAUCCACCCAGCUCCUAAGGAAACUCUGAUUCCUCCCAGCUGGAGGGGAAACAUCCACCAACGUUUCUCCUCCUGAGUUUACAAAACUCAGCUUGUGGUCGAUGCCUUCAGCUGUAUUCAGAUGGCUUCCUGAACAGCCUCUGUUUGAAGAAGUGGAGUCUACAUCCUUCAGAUGAGCUAACGACUAGUCUGAGUGCAGCCAAAGUGUGUUACAGCCAUGUCCCCGGGGUUCAAGUGACAUCAUGGCACAGAUCUUCACACCUGGAUUAGGAGUUACCUCAGCAGCUGCUGGAGACACUGACAGAAGUCCAUGUGGAUGUGGACUUAUGAUGGGACUGAUGCAGGAAAAAAUGUGUGUGUGUGUGUGUGUGUGUGUGUGUGUUUGUUUGUGUGUGUGUGUGUGUGUGUGUGUUUGUUUGUGUGUGUGUGUGUGUGUGUUUAUUUGUGUGUGUGUGUGUGUGUGUGUGUUUGCAGUAUGCAUUUACACAGGUUGUUAAACACCUAUUUUACUUACAGUAGGAAAACCUAAACUCAGCAACUAUUUAUUCGCCACAAACCUCCAGCUGAUUAAUGCAGAAAAUACUGAAACACUAAAAAUGGAAAAUUCCAAUAAAAAUGUUUAUUUAUUCUUGUUGAUAAUGAGAACACCA